GAACGAACGCUGGCGGCAUGCCUAACACAUGCAAGUCGAACGAGACCUUCGGGUCUAGUGGCGCACGGGUGCGUAACGCGUGGGAAUCUGCCCUUUGCUUCGGAAUUAACAGCUAGAAAUGACUGCUAAUACCGGAUGAUGUCUUCGGACCAAAGAUUUAUCGCCAAAGGAUUGGCCCGCGUUGGAUUAGGUAGUUGGUGGGGUAAUGGCCUACCAAGCCUACGAUCCAUAGCUGGUUUGAGAGGAUGAUCAGCAACACUGGGACUGAGACACGGCCCAGACUCCUACGGGAGGCAGCAGUGGGGAAUCUUAGACAAUGGGCGCAAGUCUGAUCUAGCCAUGCCGCGUGAGCGAUGAAGGCCUUAGGGUUGUAAAGCUCUUUCAGAUGGGAAGAUAAUGACGGUACCAUCAGAAGAAGCCCCGGCUAACUCCGUG
rnacentral:rRNA from 1 species